GGCACUCAUUCUGAAUGGAUAAGGUAAGAGUUAAGGUUUUAGAUAGGGUUAAAACACAACGUUUAGGCACUCAUUCUGAAUGGAUAAGGUAAGAGUUAAGGUUUUAGAUAGGGUUAAAACACAACGUUUAGGCACUCAUUCUGAAUGGAUAAGGUAAGAGUUAAGGUUUUAGAUAGGGUUAAAACACAACGUUUAGGCACUCAUUCUGAAUGGAUAAGGUAAGAGUUAAGGUUUUAGAUAGGGUUAAAACACAACGUUUAGGCACUCAUUCUGAAUGGAUAAGGUAAGAGUUAAGGUUUUAGAUAGGGUUAAAACACAACGUUUAGGCACUCAUUCUGAAUGGAUA